rnacentral:rRNA from 1 species
GAUGAACGCUGGCGGCGUGCCUAAUACAUGCAAGUCGGGCGAAUGGAUUAAGAGCUUGCUCUUAUGAAGUUAGCGGCGGACGGGUGAGUAACACGUGGGUAACCUGCCCAUAAGACUGGGAUAACUCCGGGAAACCGGGGCUAAUACCGGAUAACAUUUUGAACCGCAUGGUUCGAAAUUGAAAGGCGGCUUCGGCUGUCACUUAUGGAUGGACCCGCGUCGCAUUAGCUAGUUGGUGAGGUAACGGCUCACCAAGGCAACGAUGCGUAGCCGACCUGAGAGGGUGAUCGGCCACACUGGGACUGAGACACGGCCCAGACGCCUACGGGAGGCAGCAGUAGGGAAUCUUCCGCAAUGGACGAAAGUCUGACGGAGCAACGCCGCGUGAGUGAUGAAGGCUUUCGGGUCGUAAAACUCUGUUGUUAGGGAAGAACAAGUGCUAGUUGAAUAAGCUGGCACCUUGACGGUACCUAACCAGAAAGCCACGGCUAACUACGUGCCAGCAGCCGCCGUAA